UGUUCCGGGGCUCUCUGUCCUAUUGGUGGGGUUGCCUGCGCACCGUUCUACAUAUUACCACCAGUAGGCGACAGGUUUCGGAUGGAGUGCGGUGACGUCAUUAUUUUCCCCAGCUGUUCCCGAUCACCUUCAUCAGCGGAGCAGACAAAAGGAGUGGGCCGUCAGUCCAACGUCGCCUGAGUGUUGUGCCAGUCACGGUUGCCCGAGUUUCCAGAUUCGCCUCUCUGCUGUUUGCAAAUCUCCUCUGGACUCCACGGCUGGCGGCCGUUCCACUCCUCCGUGUCUCCGUUUCACCCGAGCCUACCUGUCCGCUCCCCGCCGCACUCCUCCGUUAUCCCUGGAUCCAUUAGGGACCGAGACCCCGGACAAACUCAGUUUCCCUCCACAACUCCGCUCCAACAACGACAAUGAACCGCUGCUGCCGUUACUGUUUAUUCCCCUGGACCAGACCACUCCGACUCACUCUCUUUGAUUAUUGUGUGAUCCUUAAUAAAUCAUUUUAAACUGAUUUCACUUCUCCUGUGGUUGUGUUCUGCAUUUGGGCUAAUAUUCAACCCAACAUGACAGAACAC